rnacentral:rRNA from 1 species
GNNANNUUNCCUGCNGUCGACGAUUCCUACGGGAGGCAGCAGUGGGGAAUAUUGCACAAUGGGCGAAAGCCUGAUGCAGCAAUGCCGCGUGUGUGAAGAAGGCCUGCGGGUUGUAAAGCACUUUCAGUAGGGAGGAAACAGUAACGGAACAAUACCCGUUGCCUUGACGUUACCUACAGAAGAAGCACCGGCUAACUCUGUGCCAGCAGCCGCGGUAAUACAGAGGGUGCAAGCGUUAAUCGGAAUUACUGGGCGUAAAGCGCGCGUAGGUGGUGUGGUCAGUCGGAUGUGAAAGCCCCGGGCUUAACCUGGGAAUUGCAUUCGAUACUGCCAGACUAGAGUGUAGUAGAGGGAAGCGGAAUUCCAGGUGUAGCGGUGAAAUGCGUAGAUAUCUGGAGGAACAUCAGUGGCGAAGGCGGCUUCCUGGACUAACACUGACACUGAGGCGCGAAAGCGUGGGGAGCAAACAGGAUUAGAUACCCUGGUAGUCCACGCCGUAAACGAUGUCAACUAGACGUUGGGGGGUUUAACCCUUUAGUGUCGCAGCUAACGCAAUAAGUUGACCGCCUGGGGAGUACGGCCGCAAGGUUAAAACUCAAAGGAAUUGACGG